UACGUAGGGGGCAAGCGUUGUCCGGAAUCAUUGGGCGUAAAGCGCGCGUAGGCGGCCCGGUAAGUCCGCUGUAAAAGUCCAGGGCUCAACCCUGGAAAGCCGGUGGAUACUGUCGAGCUAGAGUCCGGAAGAGGCGAGUGGAAUUCCUGGUGUAGCGGUGGAAUGCGCAGAUAUCAGGAAGAACACCCGUGGCGAAGGCGGCUCUCUGGGACGGUACUGACGCUGAGACGCGAAAGCGUGGGGAGCGAACAGG
rnacentral:rRNA from 1 species